GCGCAGAGGGGGACCAGGCAGCACACUGCUUCUACUCUCUUCUCUCUUCUAAUAACUCUCGCGAGACCCGUGGAGCGUUGCCAUGGUAACCGGGUCUUGCGAGAGGUAUUAGAAGAGAGAAGAGAGGAAAAGCUGUGUGCUGCCUGGGCCCCCUCUGCG